AUAGAAGAGCAGAGGUAGCGUUCAGUUUCAGCCCCAGUGCCCUUAUGAUGGAUGUUUACGUCUCUUCUUUGAGAGCCAAUUAUCUCGCUUUUGUGUGAGGCCCAAGGAUCACUCAUGCCGCCAGGCUGCACUGAGCACCGUUGGAUGUAGCAGAACGAAUUGUUUUCCCUGUCUCUGGUAAGAGCCUCUUCUGUUUUACCUUCUCUUUCAAAAUAAAGGUAGAUGUGUCUAACAGGGGAAGCAGUCUCAGAAACUGGUGUCAGGGUUGAACAGGCUUCCUAUUGGGUGGGCUUUUCAUCAGAGAAACGUUUACCAGUGUUACAAGGAAGUGUGGAUUUAGCAAAAUGAAUUUUAGAAGAGCGUGCUCACGUGAACCUGGCAAACUAAUUUGCAGUAGGAAAUGAAUGGCAGGUAAAUUCAGCUUUUCUCUAGAAAAAGUAAAGUAACUUCUAUUGUGAGAUCAUUAUUUUGAAUGUGUUUUUAAAAAUAUGCAUGGAUAUGUAUACACUCUGCUCCAUUUCUUUGUAAUGUGCUAUUUCUUAGUAGCAAAGAGUAGAAGUAGAAAUGCCAACCAGGGGGUGUGGGUAUAAAUUUAAAAUGAAUCAGAGUUUUUAAUUGUUAAAUGGUAGUUCUUUGGGACAGUUUUCCAAACUUGUGUCUAUAUAAUAAAACAGAAUUUGCCAAGCAAAGGCUUCAGCUUCUGAAAUGAAGUUAUAGUACUUUGUAUCCAUGUUUAUUAUUUUUAGCCUAAGGAAAGGAUGAUAACAAGUAGUUUUAAGGAAGAGUGUGAGGGUUGUUUUUUGUUUUUUGUUUUUCUGGAACUGCGAGAUGUUAAAGGCGUUUAUUACCUUAAGUGCUUUUGAAUAUAUAACAAAAUUUUGUUUUAACAUCUGCAGAUUAUCUAAGCCCUGAAAUUAAAGCCUUCAGUUCUUUAAUCAUUUAUUGGUAGUGAUAUUUACACCUGAGGAUCCUGAACAGUAUUGUAGCAAAACAUACAUUUACAGCAGUUGAAUUACUUGACAUAGAUAAUUAAAUAUGAGUGCCAUCCUGAAAAAUCAGAUACAGUAAAAGCAUUUAAUUGACUGAGAAUGUCCACAUACUACCAAUGACGAAUUCAAGAACACUUUUAACUCCUCAAGUAUUUUUUAUUAUCACAAGAUAAAGCAGCAGACUAUGGUCAUCUCAAAGUCGAAUGCAGUUCUUUGUGAAAUGAAGACAGAGAAAAGUGUAAAUAGCUGUUAAUUAAUAUAACAUGUUUUCUUAUUGAACAGCAGCACUUCCUUCUCUUCUAGGGUAAUAAAACUUUUGAGUAAUGAGCUGUCCAUCAGGCGUGAUAUGCUCAUGCUUUUCAGCUGUAUUUUUACUCUGCUUUACCAAAGACUCUUUCUACCUGUGCAAAGCAGUAAUUUGGGUAAUUAGAAAUCAGGUUUUGUCGGUGCUCCAGUUGUGCUCCGAGACCGCAGGGGCUUCUCAGCGAGGUCACACUUCUCCGUCUUCUACCAGCCCAGUCCUGUUUGGCAUUAGUGUUUGUUGUUCGAUUUGUCUCCUUCAGUCAAUUCAGGUCUGAACAGAACUGAGUUCAGAGAAAGUGUCAGAUGUGUAUGAAUGGAAUCUAAAGAACUGAGCUUAUUGUCUCAGCAAAAAUGAUAACAUAAUCAACCAAACUUCAAAAGCUUACAAACAGGCAUCGGGGAUUAAUUUUUAUGGAGAGAUUUAAGUGAGCAUAUUCUGUGAAUUUCAGAAUCUAAAUGUGGAAAUCCAAAAGUUUGGAUAAGAUGAACUUGAACACAUAAUGAUCCACUGCUUGAAACGAUUUUUUUUUCCAUUAAGUACUUUAAAGUGAAGUUGCAUUACCCAAAGGUAUUGACUCUGUCAUUUUCACAGGUGAUCAUCUUGACCAAGGGAAAGCAUUUGUUUCCUAACAAUUAAUUCUCUAAAAAAACUCCUUUAAAUCUCUAAAAUUCUAUUAACAAUGAAGAAAAUCUUCCUCGGCCAAUUAACAGUCUGGACAUUUACAAUUGUAUUUUUUUCUGUAUAUAAAUGCUUUUCUCGCUGUUACAGAUACUUGUGAUUUCUCUCAUGAAUGCACUGCUUUGUUAGUGAUUACAAUGUUAAAAUCAUUUAUCUCCCUGUUUUCCUUUGAACAACUUUGUACGCCAUGAAUAUCCAUGAAUUUGUCUGGAUGGUAGAGUUCAUUGACAGAAAGUUUUUGCUUCUCAUUUUAUUUUUAAAGCAAGGAUAUCAAUAAGUUCAUGGCAAUAUUCCAUGCAACAAACUCCCCAGGAAGAACUUUCAGUGCAGGGGACUAUAGAUGAAAGAUGCGUGAUUCUGCAUGUAUUUCUAUGUUGCUUGGCUCCUUCCUUAUGCAUAUGUGCUUUGUCUGAAAGUCAUCAUCAUCUUUUUAUUCUUGCAUUUUUCUUCUCUCUAUUAUCUCAUCCAAUUAUUUGUACCUGGUAUACCAAGUUAAUGUUAUUAAAUGACAGAUUUAACAGGUCUUAAGAAGAGAUGGAAAAAGUGCGCAAUAAUAACCAGAUUCCUUUAUCCUUCUGAAGUUUUGCAUUUUCCAGAGGCUGAGGGUGAUACAUUGUUUCUUUUGAAAAUUGUUCCUCAUGUUAUAUUAUUACUUAUUCCAAAAUAAUACCCUUUUUUUUUCCCCUCUUGUGUGCCUUAAUUUGUCCUAUAACUUGGUUUAUAUAAGGACUUUCAUUAGCAUCUUUUAACUAUUGAAUGCAUAUAUCAUUUAGUUUUCUACUUGCUCAGGUGAAGUACUUGGAUAUGUCAUGAAUUCUAUGCUUAUCUUAACAGUGUGAAAUUCUGGAUUUCCAUGGCCAACUUUUUAGUUAAACCCAGAAUAUAGUAGCCACAAGGUCGUCUUAGCUUAGGUUUAUAUUAGUAUGUGACUGCAUGGAUAUUUAGGUGUGUAUUUUAUGUACAUAAAAUAAUGUUUAUAAGUGCUUUAUAAUUUUAAUAGUUGUUUUCAUGGACAUAAUAUCACCCAUUCUUUUUAAAAAUUUUAUUGGGUAAAAUUGAUUUGCAAUGUUGUAUUUUAACAAUCUAUCUGUGAUAAGGUAAUUGAUAUCAUGCUGCUAAGGAAACAGAGAUUAAUAGUUUUUAACCUUUGCCAGAGAUCACCUAGUCAGUAAAUCAGUAAAUGAAAAACACUCAAACAUACAAUAGGUUUUCAAAUUUUAUGCUCCCAAUCAAUCUCUUCUCUUCCUCUCUCCUUCCCUUUUUUCCUUCCUUCCUUCCCUCCCUCCCUUCAUAUUUCUGGCCAUCUGACUAGUUUUUUGUUGUUGUUGUUUUGUGUUUAUUGUUUAUUCUGUGUCAUGUACUCUUCUAGGUGCUUAGGAUUUAUAACUGAAUGAUAUGAAAGAUCCUUGCUCUUGUGCAUAUUAUAUGUUUUUCCAUCUGGCAAGCUCUCUUUUUUGAAAUUACUAAAAAUAUAGAAUGUAUAUCAAAGCGUGGCUGAAUAAAACAGAACUUGCUAGAAACGGGAAACACGAGUUAUCUGCCUUUCUUGUGUUCAAUGUAUCUUUAAGUUCUCAGAUUCGUCCAAACGUUACAUUUGGAUGUCAUGAGAAUAUCUGUCAUUUACUUAAUAACUUAUAUUUUAUUUAGAAUUUGAUCCUGCAGCUUUUCCAAAAAUGAUUAAAUUACCAUGAAUUCCCAAAAAAGCAUUAUCGAAUAAAGUUAUCUUGUAUUAUAGAGUAUAUUCAAGCAAUCCAACUUUAUAUUUAUCCUCUAUAAUGAAGUUCUUGGAGGCCAUAAUACAUUGAUUGUAUAGUUGCUUGGCUUUUGAUAGAGUUUAGAUAGUAUAAAUAGGAGAGUAAGAAAUGGAUGACUUCUGUCUUUCUUUUAAUUAAAAAAAGUUAGUGAUAACAGUUUGUGUUUGAAUAAGGCAAAGUAGAGAUCAUCUGAAGUUUAACACCCAUUUUUUUUCAGUGGUUGUGUCAUAUAUUAAUGCUAGUUCCUAGGACACUUGAACUAAAAGUGAGAUUUACUACCCAUUAAAUUUAUUUACAGCUGGCCAGUGAUUU
rnacentral:lncRNA from 1 species